UUUUAUGAGAGUUUGAUCCUGGCUCAGGACGAACGCUGGCGGCGUGCCUAAUACAUGCAAGUCGAACGCUUCUUUUUCCACCGGAGCUUGCUCCACCGGAAAAAGAAGAGUGGCGAACGGGUGAGUAACACGUGGGUAACCUGCCCAUCAGAAGGGGAUAACACUUGGAAACAGGUGCUAAUACCGUAUAACAAUCAAAACCGCAUGGUUUUGAUUUGAAAGGCGCUUUCGGGUGUCGCUGAUGGAUGGACCCGCGGUGCAUUAGCUAGUUGGUGAGGUAACGGCUCACCAAGGCCACGAUGCAUAGCCGACCUGAGAGGGUGAUCGGCCACAUUGGGACUGAGACACGGCCCAAACUCCUACGGGAGGCAGCAGUAGGGAAUCUUCGGCAAUGGACGAAAGUCUGACCGAGCAACGCCGCGUGAGUGAAGAAGGUUUUCGGAUCGUAAAACUCUGUUGUUAGAGAAGAACAAGGAUGAGAGUAACUGUUCAUCCCUUGACGGUAUCUAACCAGAAAGCCACGGCUAACUACGUGCCAGCAGCCGCGGUAAUACGUAGGUGGCAAGCGUUGUCCGGAUUUAUUGGGCGUAAAGCGAGCGCAGGCGGUUUCUUAAGUCUGAUGUGAAAGCCCCCGGCUCAACCGGGGAGGGUCAUUGGAAACUGGGAGACUUGAGUGCAGAAGAGGAGAGUGGAAUUCCAUGUGUAGCGGUGAAAUGCGUAGAUAUAUGGAGGAACACCAGUGGCGAAGGCGGCUCUCUGGUCUGUAACUGACGCUGAGGCUCGAAAGCGUGGGGAGCAAACAGGAUUAGAUACCCUGGUAGUCCACGCCGUAAACGAUGAGUGCUAAGUGUUGGAGGGUUUCCGCCCUUCAGUGCUGCAGCUAACGCAUUAAGCACUCCGCCUGGGGAGUACGACCGCAAGGUUGAAACUCAAAGGAAUUGACGGGGGCCCGCACAAGCGGUGGAGCAUGUGGUUUAAUUCGAAGCAACGCGAAGAACCUUACCAGGUCUUGACAUCCUUUGACCACUCUAGAGAUAGAGCUUCCCCUUCGGGGGCAAAGUGACAGGUGGUGCAUGGUUGUCGUCAGCUCGUGUCGUGAGAUGUUGGGUUAAGUCCCGCAACGAGCGCAACCCUUAUUGUUAGUUGCCAUCAUUCAGUUGGGCACUCUAGCAAGACUGCCGGUGACAAACCGGAGGAAGGUGGGGAUGACGUCAAAUCAUCAUGCCCCUUAUGACCUGGGCUACACACGUGCUACAAUGGGAAGUACAACGAGUCGCGAAGUCGCGAGGCUAAGCUAAUCUCUUAAAGC
rnacentral:rRNA from 1 species